rnacentral:rRNA from 1 species
UACGGAGGGAGCAAGCGUUACUCGGAAUUAUUGGGCGUAAAGGGCGCGUAGGCGAUCUGACAGUCUGGUGUGAAAGCCCACAUGUUAACUGUGGAAGUGCAUUAGAAACUGUUGGAUUUGAGUUCAGGAGAGGAAGGCAGAAUUCCCGGUGUAGCGGUGAAAUUCGUAGAUAUUCGGAAGAACACCAGUGGCGAAGGCGGCUCACUGGCCCGGUACUGACGCUGAGGUGCGAAAGCGUGGGAGCAACAGG